AGUGAACGCUGGCGGUAGGCCUAACACAUGCAAGUCGAACGGCAGCACAGUAAGAGCUUGCUCUUACGGGUGGCGAGUGGCGGACGGGUGAGGAAUACAUCGGAAUCUACUUUUUCGUGGGGGAUAACGUAGGGAAACUUACGCUAAUACCGCAUACGACCUACGGGUGAAAGCAGGGGAUCUUCGGACCUUGCGCGAUUGAAUGAGCCGAUGUCGGAUUAACUAGUUGGCGAGGUAAAGGCCCACCAAGGCGACGAUCCGUAGCUGGUCUGAGAGGAUGAUCAGCCACACUGGAACUGAGACACGGUCCAGACUCCUACGGGAGGCAGCAGUGGGGAAUAUUGGACAAUGGGCGCAAGCCUGAUCCAGCCAUACCGCGUGGGUGAAGAAGGCCUUCGGGUUGUAAAGCCCUUUUGUUGGGAAAGAAAAGCAGCAGGUUAAUACCCCGCUGUUCUGACGGUACCCAAAGAAUAAGCACCGGCUAACUUCGUG
rnacentral:rRNA from 1 species